GCCGCCGUAGCUCAGUUGGUAGAGCGCUCGGCUGUUAACCGAGUGGUCGCCGGUUCAAGUCCGGCCGGCGGCG
rnacentral:tRNA from 1 species